GACUUGUCUCAUGGCCGCGAUCGAUCCAGGAACGCUCAUGUGGGCCAGGGCUUGCGAGUUGAUUGAUCGCGCCGAGAGAUUGCACCGGCAGUUCUUCCAGCCGAGGGCUGUGCCGGNNNNNNNNNUGCUGGGAACCACCAGUCGACGUUAUCGAAACCGACUCGGAUUUCUUGAUCAGUGUCGCGCUCCCCGGCGUCGACAGCAACGCGGUGAAAGUGACUGUCGAGAACGGCACA
rnacentral:misc_RNA from 1 species